AACGCAUCUUGCGCUCCUUGGUAUUCCGAGGAGCAUGCCUGUUUGAGUGUCAUUUAACUUCUCAACCAUAUUGGAUAUUUUUUUCAAUGUUGGCUUGGAUGUGGGGGUUGUUUGCAGGCUUUUUGUAACAAAAAGGUCGGCUCUCCUGAAAUAUAUUAGUGGUAUCCGAGGCUAUUGCUAUUAGGUGUGAUAAUUAUCUAUGCCUUUUGGUUAUGCCGCAUGAGCAGAUUAUGCUGCUUCUAAUGAAAACUAUUUUGAUGAAUUUGACCUCAAAUCAGGUAGGACUACCCGCUGAACUUAA
rnacentral:misc_RNA from 1 species